CAGGAAGGCCGCCUGAGGCUGCAGCCAAAUGGGCAAGGUCAGAGUGAGGAGGAGGGGCCAGAACCACAGGGAGGGAGCGGCCAGACCCUCCACGGCCUUAGGGCGUCCCUGAGAUUCCAUCAGGAAACGGAUGUAAUCGGAUCACCCUGGGAACAGUGAGGAAAAUUGACUCCAGGGGGUCAGGGGGACUCAAGGACACCCCCCACCACUGUCUCUCUCCAGCAGAGCCCACACGAUGAAGACCCCCAGGCAGUGACGUAUGCCGAGGUGAAACACUCCAGACCUAGGAGAGAAAUGGCCUCCCCUCCCUCCUCACUGUCUGAGGAAUUCCUGGACACAAAGGACACACAGGCAGAAGAGGACAGGCAGAUGGACACUGAGGUGGUCCUUUCCUCUCCAGGCCCCCAGGCCUCCCCGACCCCCACCACGUUCCUUCCCUCUCACUCUCCCCCACUGCAGGCUGCUGCAUCUGAAGCCCCCCAGGAUGUGACCUACGCCCAGCUGCACAGCUUGACCCUCAGACGGGAGGCAACUGAGCCUCCUCCAUCCCAGGAACGGGAACCUCCAGCUGAGGCCAGCGUCUACGCCACCCUGGCCAUCCAC
rnacentral:sRNA from 1 species